rnacentral:lncRNA from 1 species
GGGUGAGUGUGUGCCUCUGUCGGCCCUGCCCAUGUGGGUGGACUCUUAAAGGCAACAUCCUAUGCCUGAAAGGAAGCUACUGCUGUAGUCUGGGAAGAAGCGAGAGGGCCUGAAAGAGCCAGAGUUGAAGAGGAAAAGACAGAGAGGACUAAGGUCGACGUGACUUGCCUAAGGUCACAGAGGUGGUGAGUGGUGGAGUUGGAAUCCACAUGAAUCUUCUAUAGGAACCCCGGCCCAACUACAGACAUGCCCAGAUGAGCACACCAGUGCCUGGAGAGGAAAAAUCUGGAGAGGCCUUCCACAUGGCGAAGAGAAAGGGAAAAGAGUUUUGAUUUCUGUGCCUAUUAACCACUCUGACAGAAGGUUUUGUGAAGAAUGACGUUGAAGCUCUUGGUAGAAGUUAGAAAAAACAGUCUAGUUACAAGAACAGCAGAAAAAGACCUGAACUUCAGAGUGGACCACAAACCAAUAGGAAUUAAGAACACAGCUCUCUUUUCAAAAGCCAAUGCAAAAUGAGGAUGUGUUUAUGCAAGAGCAGCUGUUGUUACCCUGGGCUUAUGCUCGACAUUCUUUCAUAUGUCACGGUCAGACCUAGGAAAUUCCCUGGGAAGUCCCCUCCCUCCCAGUGCCUGCAGUUUCUCCCUUGGAGUAUAAUGCUGUUGGAUCUUGAGAGAUCUUUUGAUCUUCAGGAAGCUGUUAUCACAAAAUGGAUCUUCCUGGAGUGAGGAGACAGCGUGGUACACCGGGAGACGAAGGCAGUGGACUGCGGAAUGGGAAUCUGGGUCCCAAUGUCAGUUCUCCCACCACCUGCCUGUGGCUUUAGGAAAGGCCUGUUCCUUCCCUUGCCUCCAUGGCUUCAUCUGUCCAAUGGAGUGACAUGGAGAUGAUGAAAGUAUGGUUCCUAGUUUCCAAAGAUCUUUUCCUAAUGACUUUUGCGGCAUCCCCCAAACAAGGCCAUGAGGACGAUAGAGAAGAUGCAGACAUCUCCAUGUUACAAAGGAGAAAGUGCGACUCAGAGAAGUCAAGUGACUCAGCCAAAGUCACACAGCUGAAUUCGAGCAGAGCAAGGGCCCCAGGUGGCUCAUGCUAGAGGUGAAGACCUUCGUAUUCUCCUAGUUUCUCUUAUAAUAAUGUCACCUCCUGGAGCGAGCAAGUCCUGGCUGAGACACAACGGCAUCUAGAAACAGUCCUGACUAUUUGAGAACUUCUUCCUCUGUGGUGAAAAACUGAACCGGCCUGCCCCAUUUUCCCAACCACCUCACGACUCGAAGAGCAAUUGCUUUAGCUCUGACAAAAUUAGGCCACCUCCGACCUAAAUGGAGCCCAUUUUCAGAGUAAGACCCUGCGUGGAGACAGCUCUUUCCUGGAAGGAUAACAAAAGCAUGCUUUUGUGUGUAUUUCACUUGAUGGAAAGGAAUCCCCAGCGAGGCCAUUUUUUCCCCCUGAUUUCUCCCAAGUCCAGAAUGUAUCCAAGUUUCCAAGAUAAUCUCAGAAGAGCCAUUCGUCUACGAAGAUGGCCAAAUUGUCUUCCAGCUCAGUAGACAGGGUGUGUUUGAGAGACAAGGUGAGGGGGUGAGAAUAGGGGUGUGGGAAGAGGGUGAGGGAGCUUGAUAGCAAAGGAGAAAAUGUGUCGCCGACAAAUGCUGACGGAAGACGAAAGAAACCAAAGGGCCAGCCCCGACUCUGGGGUCCCCUCUGCCAGGGACAUUUUCAGCUCAUUCUUUUCAGGACCUGUCACAGUCUGCCUGGCGAGCCGUCACUUCUCAUCACUGGGCUCUCACUGAGGAUCUUUGUGUCAUCACUGUCAUGAAGAGACCUGGCAACUGGCAAAGAAUUUCCUGGGGCGCUACCCGAUACACCAUUAUUCGCCUCUUAUCAUCUUAGCAGAGUAGUUACGCCGCUGUCAGAGGAGUGAGAAUGAAGUCUGAGCAGGGACUGACGCGGCUGUACGAGAUCUCCAAGCAGAUGAGGUGGACUCCCUGGCCGGCGAGAAAUGAACAGCGCGGCCCGUGGAAGAGCGUGGGCUGCUGUUGGGCUGGGGUGUUGCCUUUAUCACACCGGAGAUUUAGGCCUGCACUGAGCAAGGGGUGAGGCUGACACCAGGAGACAAGUUCUCAGAGACUGGUCUCUCACGGAAAAGCUCUGAGAGUCUCCUUGAUGUGGGUUUGUGUGUGUGCAUGCAUGUGUGUGUGUAUUACCAUUUUGGUGAUUUUAAGCAUCCUUUUGUGGGAUUCAAACAUUCUGAGAGUGAAAAAUGAUCAUUUUAAGCCAGAUUGGGUAAGGUAGGGUCAUAAAUCAGGAAGGAAGACCAGAUUCUGUCUUUGUGUGUGUACGUACGUGUAUAUGUGUGAGUACACGCACAUGUGUGUGCAUGUACGUGUGUGCAUGUGUGUAUGUGUAUACAUGCACAUUGCGUGUGUGUACCUGUGUGUGUGCGCACAGAGAAGGCGCCAGCAAGCGAGCCUCCUGGGGUGAGUGGGAGGAGCAGAUGUGGGUCUGAGCAAGGGAGCUGGUUUUGAUGAAAUAUUGGCUAACGCUCGGGGCACCGAAGGAGAAGAGGCUCUGGUCAGGGAACUGUGCUGCAUUAGAAUUUAUAAUAGAUUAGCUUAUCUGCCCCUUGAUCUUCAAGGGUAUUUGGGGAGCUGAGGAUGAGCCAUUUCUGCCUUGAUUUUCGCAGUGAGAGGAAACGUCUGAAACAGUAUUCCCAGCCUUUCCCUCUGCACAGCCCAAGGCGGUGAGAGCUUGGUAUUCACACCCCCACUCAGGUCAUUCGGAGGAGGCUGACAGUGCCCAGGAAUGCUGACAUGCUUCAAAACAUCACACAAGAAAGAACCCACUCAGAUUCCUAAGGGGAGUUGCUGUCGGUCCAUCCUGAGCCGGAGUGCAACAUUGGAUGUGAUUGCCAUGGCUCCCCCUCCCGCUGCAGGAGCUCGAAAUCCAUAUUCAUCCACGAUGUCUGCAGGACUCCCCUCUCGCUGUCCAUCUGUCUGUCUGUCUGACUCUCUCUUCCUCGCUCUCUGAGGUAAAGGGUGCUCGCUAUCCUGAAAAGGGGAGCGUGCCAGAAUGUUCCAGAUGAGCUGCUGGCAGCAAUGUUGCUUUAAACACCAAGGAGCUGAAGCGGCCGGGAAAGAAAGAGUGAGGGGUGAAGUGUGGUUUGAUGUCUCGGCGCACUGGGACAUCAUGAUUCAUAUAACAUGAGCUCCUCGGAGUCCUUGAUUAAAUCCUAGCCUAGCACCCCCGGCUGAACUGGAACUCUGAAGUCCAGCCAAGGAGCGUUACUGGUCCUGCCUCAGCAAACAGUUGGUGGGUCACAGGCAAAGAACAGUGGAGGGGUGCUUUUUUCACUGGAAAAAUUACCUGCUGGGAAAGGAGGAAUCAUAUGAUGUGUGUGGGGGGGAAAACCAGCCAGGAAGGACCUGGCUCUCACAUUACAAGGCUGCUUUCUGAAGUCAGAGGGACUUUUUAUUCCCCCCAGAGGCCUGCGGGCCCCAGCCAAAGUGGCUGUGCGUGGCUCUGAAGGGUGUGGUGUUAGGGGCGCUGCACGCUGGGGCUCUGGAUGCCAGGCUGGGAACGGGGAGAGAGGAGAGCUGGGGACGAGGCUUCACUGUCCUCAGACUCACUCUCUUAAGGCGGGAGGGAGGUGAAGAGGAGAGAGAGGCUGCCCUGUUUCCCCUCUAGCCAGGGGACGGGGCCCUCUAUUGCCUCCACUUAGGACUUUCUAUGCAUGGAGUUCCCUCUCUCCCUUUCUAUGACAUUUCACAUGUCUGGCCACUAUUUCCAUCUCCCGACUCCUUAAAACUUUCCCGUCUCUCACUGUACCCUCUCUCUGCUUCUCCGACAGCCUUCACUCCCUCUUUGCAUGGAAGUUGCAUAAUGAUCUCUCACUUCACGACGCCCCCUUUCCCAAUGCUUAGUUCAUGUCGGUUUGAGCGGGGAGACUUUGGGGCAUGUGACUCAGGACUGGCCAGCAUGUUUGGUUUAAGGAUGGGGCUGUGGAGCCAAGAGGGUCCAAUCAGAGCCAAACCUGGAACUUCUGUUGGAAACUUUUGUUGGAACUUUUGGGAUAGAGAAGUUCUCUUUCAUCUGGGGUUGAUGGGAUGAGAGGAUGAAAGCCUGGAGCUUCCAGGGGCCACGGUGAUGAGAACAUCUGUCUGAAAAUGAUGCCACUGGAAAAGGAAGAACAAAGAGAUGGAUAGAGAUGGAUUUCUGAAGGCAUGAUUUGAGCACCAGGAUCUAAUCAUACCUGAGGUCAGGAUCUAAUCCUGGACUCCUCAGUUAUACUAACUAAGAAAUUUCUCCCUUUUCUUCUUUAUCCAGUUGGAUUUUUUCCUGUUACUUGUAAUUGAAAGUAUUGUAUUUAUAUGUUGGGUCGAUACCCGCUUCUGUCUUUUCUGCAUGGAGUUCCCUCUCUCCCUUUCUGUGAGUCCUCAACUUUCUGUGUCUUCUUUGUUCCCCUUACUCACUCAGGCUUUCCAUCCACUCUUGUGGUGUCAACUAUGACCCCUGUGAGAUUCUCGUGCCCCACUCCCACAUUUGGGCAUCUAGCUUAGAUCUUGUUCUCGUGUCCAGCCAUCUAUAAGACAGUUCUGCAUGUGCCUCAUGCACGUGGACAUGCACAGCUGCCUGAAGUUAAUGUGACUCCUGAUCCUUGGGAAGGAGAGGGCCCCCCUUUUCAACCACCUCCUCUUCAACCCUGGCAUCUGAUCCCCCUGGUUCAAAGCCAGAAUUAUCUUUGAUUCCUUCUUCUCUUCCUUCCUGUCCCCCUAUAUUGAAUCAUCCAUCAAGUCUUCCAAAAUUUCUCUUGUGGAUGUCAUUUUUUUCUCUAUCUACCACCAUCCUCUGGUCUAAAAUCUCAUCAUGAUCAUCUCAAAACCCUCUUACCUGCCUUUCAAAUACUCAUUUCAAACUGUCCCACCCAUCCAGCACACUCCUGCUUGUUUAACUUCCUCAAAUACCUUUCACCUCACAGCUUGCCUGAAGAAACCAGAUUUCUCACUGUUGCGCAUCUCCGGGUCCCUCAGAUGCUGGCAUUCAUGAAGCAUGAGAAGCCACAGGAGCACCCUUCUGGAAUACUAAUUUGACUGCAAGGUUUCUUGGGAUGUGGGAAGUUAAGUGCUUUAACUAGAAAGAAAUUAAAAACAUUUUUAUAUUAAAACAGAUCAAUCUUAUGUAAAGUAGAAUGCAAUACUCACGUGAAUUUUAAAGAUUAAACAUAGAUUUCAAAGACGUUCUGAGACUGUAAAAGUCUACUUUCAGCCACCACCCAAGAGUUCUGGGAUUCUUUUCCCUCUGCCGUUGGGUAGAAAGUUUGAAAAAGCAUCAACAUGUUGAGUCAUUUCUAACCUCCUCGAUCUGGUGUUUCUCUCACCUGGCCCUAUCUUUCGUACCCUCCUCCUUUUCUCUCACUAUUUCCUUGAGGUAGAGGGCUCUUCUGGUUGUUCUUUGAACUCAACACUCUCAUUCCCAACCCUGUUUCAUGCCACCAUAUCCUUUUCCAAGUGAGCUCCUUUCUCUUUUUAUCAGCCUAAAUCGUCUAUCUCUUUCAGGCUUAAUCACCAGCUCACAAUGGUCUCUCCCUUCUGGAAUUCAUAUCAAUACAUGAAUUAUAUGCUGGACAAGAGUCACUCAUCUGCUCAAAACCCUUAAAAGCCUCCUUAUGUUCUGGCUGUGGAAUGAAGUCUAGACUCCUUUGUAUGACACACUGGCUCUUGGCUGAUCUGGACUCUGCCUGAUACUUCAGUCUCAACUGGCCUUGUGACUACCCUUGAUCUUUGCUGUUCAGACUUCAAGAACCGCUGUAGUGUCCCCAAAGCACAGUGGUCACUUUCACCUUAUCUUUAUCCUCUUCAUCUCCUUCUCUUUCUCUUGGCUUUACCCAUUAGGACUCAGCUCAGUCAUAAUGUCCUUCUUGGCCAUCGCUCCAAAGCUAUCAUAGCCCCCUGAGCAGAUCUCCAUCUCAGCAUCAUUUGGAGCAGCCUUUCUUACCUCCCUCUCUGCUGGCCAGAUGGGGAGCUCCUUACUGCAGAAAUAAGCCAUCUUUGUUAUCCCUGCUGUAAUAUUUCUUAAAUGAAUUAAUUAAUGAACAAACAGGAUGUAUCAGGAAACUUAGGAUUUACUUUCUUUCCAUUAUCCAUGUGAUCUUGGGCCUUUCUAAGCUUGUGUAUCAUUUUAUAGUCAAGUCUGUUUCAUACACACAAAUCUUUUGAUCUCUAUUUACCUGAGGGUCCCUGGCAGUAUCAAUAAUUAUACAGAUUGGAGCUGAAAACUGGACCUGGGACUAAGACACAAAUGAAGAAGUGGGGAUCAGCAGAUGAGCAGGACCAAGCUUGCCUCCUUCUCUCCAAGAUGGCACACCUUGCAUAGAAAAACAUCCACAUACUCAGGGUUGGUUUAGGAGCUCUGGGUAAAGGUCAGCAGAGAUACAGUUUUGGGUGAGAUACAGCACAUUUUAUACAGAUUAUUCUGUCCUAGCCCACAAGAAAGCUGUCAAUUAUAUUUUUAGAUUCCAAGAGCUCUUACUUAUUUGCUGAAAAUCCUUUUUUUCCCUACUUUUUCUCCCCAAAUUCCCCCAGUACAUAGUUGCAUAUCUUAGUUGUGGGUCCUUCUAGUUGUGGCAUGUGGGAUGCUGCCUCAGCGUGGCCUGAAGAGCGGUGCCAUGUCCACCCCCAGGAUCCAAAUCAGUGAAACCCUGGGCUGCCGAAGCUGACCGUGCGAACUUAACCACUUGGCCAUGGGGCUGGCCCCUGAAAAUCCUUUUUAUAAGCACUC